rnacentral:rRNA from 1 species
GAUGAACGCUGGCGGCGUGCCUAACACAUGCAAGUCGAACGGAGAUUUAACGCUGAUGAAGCUUCGGCAGAUUCUUGUUAAAUCUUAGUGGCGGACGGGUGAGUAACGCGUGGGCAACCUGCCUCAUACUGGGGGAUAACAGCUGGAAACGACUGUUAAUACCGCAUAAGCGCACGGUAUCGCAUGAUACAGUGUGAAAAACUCCGGUGGUAUGAGAUGGGCCCGCGUCAGAUUAGCCAGUUGGCAGGGUAACGGCCUACCAAAGCGACGAUCUGUAGCCGGCCUGAGAGGGCGGACGGCCACAUUGGGACUGAGACACGGCCCAAACUCCUACGGGAGGCAGCAGUGGGGGAUAUUGCACAAUGGAGGAAACUCUGAUGCAGCGACGCCGCGUGCAGCAGAGNUAUUUCGGUAUGUAAAGCUCUAUCAGCAGGGAAGAAAGNCUCGUAAGAGAGAUGACGUAC